rnacentral:rRNA from 1 species
UUGGCCAUUAGGCAAUGUGGUGUUUAGGUCGUUCCGCAGAGACACUGCUCCUCUCUAAGUCCAUCAAUGAGUACGGUUGUACUAACAUGGCCCAAGGAGGGUGAAAGGCCCGUAAGAGUGGAGUUCUGGUACGACAGUGUCUCUCUGGAUUGACCUUGGAGUCGGGUUGUUUGGGAAUGCAGCCCAAAGCGGGUGGUAAACUCCAUCCAAGGCUAAAUACUAGCACGAGUCCGAUAGCGAACAAGUACCGUGAGGGAAAGUUGAAAAGUACUUUGAAGAGAGAGUAAACAGUGCGUGAAACCGCUUAGAGGUAAACGGGUGGAGUUGAACUGUAAUCUUUGAGAAUUCAGCUGGUGAAUUUGCUUGAGCUUGGUCAAAAUGAGCAGGGCUCCGAGGUAUGCUUACUUGCAUGUCCUGGUCUUCGGAUUGGGAUGCGCGUUGCUCUUAUCAAGGGUUGCGCGCCUCGGGUGUCCAGCUGGCUCUGUCGCCAGUGCACUUUCUCAGAGUGAUCACCACGACCGGCGCUGCUGCUUUUCUGUUAUAGUUAAAUCGGUCAUUCAUCGUCCUUGUGGCGUUGGGUGGUCGACACGGCAGGUAACUGGGGGCAUUCUUCGGUUUGUUGCCCGGUGUAUGCUGGCUUUAACGGUCCUAUGCAGUGUGUCGGAGACGGCGGCUUGUGGUGUGUGCGUGCGUGCCUAUCUGUUGGCAUAUUCUGGUUUGGUGGCUGUGUGCUUGUUCAAGCAGGCCUAGUUAUAGCCGGAGUGUGUCAGUGGGUGGUUGCGUGUGUGACACUGUUCAGGGCCAAUAGUCUG